UCUCCGAUCGUAUAGGGGCUAGACUCUAGUAUGCCGGCAACCAGCUGGUCACGCUGGAGACCGGGGUUCAAGUCCCCGUUGAAGAG